AAACUAUUUGGCAUUCUGCAGCACAUGAUUGUACAGAAUUAAAAACAUUACAUUGAUGCAGGCAGAGAUAUCUAAAUUCACAAUGAUCGCCCUCAACAACAAGUGUUGAUGCAGGCGAAGAUACGCCAGACUCUACUAGUUCAAAAUCUUGUCUAGAUAAACAAUACUAAAAAGAAAAAGAAAAACUCCGGAGGAGGAAAAAAAAAUAGCAAAUAAAGUUAUCGGAUAAAAAAAAUAGAAACGGAUACUCGCAUUGAGUUUGUUAAAUAUUAUUGGUCAAACGGACCACACAAGCUUAAAGUACUCGAAUAUUUUUCUUCCUCAGGUCCCAAAUUGCUCAAAAUUUUCCUGCAUUUUCUCACUACCCAAACAAACCGUACAUUUGCACAAACAAAAUCUUCAAACAUCAAAAAACAAAAAUAGAUAAAUGAAAUCCA
rnacentral:misc_RNA from 1 species